rnacentral:rRNA from 1 species
UACGGGAGGCAGCAGUAGGGAAUAUUGGUCAAUGGAUGCAAGUCUGAACCAGCCAUGCCGCGUGCAGGAAGAAGGCCUUCUGGGUUGUAAACUGCUUUUGCCGGGGGAUAAAAUUUCCAUGCGUGGGCCAUUGAAGGUACCCGGUGAAUAAGCCACGGCUAACUACGUGCCAGCAGCCGCGGUAAUACGUAGGUGGCAAGCGUUGUCCGGAUUUAUUGGGUUUAAAGGGUGCGUAGGCGGCCUAUUAAGUCAGUUCUGAAAUAUCCCGGCUUAACCGGGAGGGUGGGAUUGAUACUGAUGGGCUUGAGUGGAGUCGAGGUAGGCGGAAUUGACGGUGUAGCGGUGAAAUGCUUAGAUAUCGUCAAGAACACCGAUAGUGUAGACAGCUUACUAGACUUCAACUGACGCUGAGGCACGAAAGUGUGGGGAUCAAACAGGAUUAGAUACCCUGGUAGUCCACACUGUAAACGUUGAUUACUCGCUGUGUGCGAUAUACAGUACGCGGCU